rnacentral:tRNA from 1 species
UAGCUCAAAGGUUAAAGCAUUUGCCUGCAAUGCAAGAGACCUAAGUUCGAUCCCUGG